rnacentral:rRNA from 1 species
UUGACCUCGAAUCAGGUAGGAAUACCCGCUGAACUUAAGCAUAUCAAUAAGCGGAGGAAAAGAAACCAACCGGGAUUACCUCAGUAACGGAGGAAAAAAACGGGAA